rnacentral:rRNA from 1 species
CCUAGUAGGCGUGCGUUAGGCAAAUCCGGCGCACAUAUACCGAGGCCAAUGAUCGAGCCAGCUUGCUGGUGAAGUGACUGAACGAGGUUCCAGGAAAAGCCACUAAGCUUCAGCUACACACGACCGUACCGCAAACCGACACUGGUGCGCGAGAUGAGUAUUCUAAGGCGCUUGAGAGAACUCAGGAGAAGGAACUCGGCAAAUUGACACCGUAACUUCGGAAGAAGGUGUGCCCUAUUAGUGUGAAGUGAACAACGGAGCAUGAAUGGGUUGCAAAAAAUCGGUGGCUGCGACUGUUUAUUAAAAACACAGCACUCUGCAAACACGAAAGUGGACGUAUAGGGUGUGACGCCUGCCCGGUGCUGGAAGAUUAAAUGAUGGGGUGCAAGCUCUUGAUUGAAGUCCCAGUAAACGGCGGCCGUAACAAUAACGGUCCUAAGGUAGCGAAAUUCCUUGUCGGGUAAGUUCCGACCUGCACGAAUGGCGUAACGAUGGCCACACUGUCUCCUCCUGAGACUCAGCGAAGUUGAAAUGUUUGUGAUGAUGCAAUCUCCCCGCGGAAAGACGGAAAGACCCCAUGAACCUUUACUGUAGCUUUGUAUUGGACUUUGAACAGAUCUGUGUAGGAUAGGUGGGAGGCUUUGAAGCAGGGUCGCUAGAUCUUGUGGAGCCAACGUUGAAAUACCACCCUGGUGUGUUUGAGGUUCUAACCUAGGUCCAUUAUCUGGAUCGGGGACAGUGCAUGGUAGGCAGUUUGACUGGGGCGGUCUCCUCCCAAAGCGUAACGGAGGAGUUCGAAGGUACGCUAGUUACGGUCGGACAUCGUGACGAUAGUGCAAUGGCAUAAGCGUGCUUAACUGCGAGACUGACAAGUCGAGCAGAUGCGAAAGCAGGACAUAGUGAUCCGGUGGUUCUGUAUGGAAGGGCCAUCGCUCAACGGAUAAAAGGUACUCUGGGGAUAACAGGCUGAUACCGCCCAAGAGUUCAUAUCGACGGCGGUGUUUGGCACCUCGAUGUCGGCUCAUCUCAUCCUGGGGCUGUAGCCGGUCCCAAGGGUAUGGCUGUUCGCCAUUUAAAGAGGUACGUGAGCUGGGUUUAAAACGUCGUGAGACAGUUUGGUCCCUAUCUUCCGUGGGCGCUGCAGAUUUGAGGAAGCCUGCUCCUAGUACGAGAGGACCGGAGUGGACACACCUCUGGUGUAUCGGUUGUCACGCCAGUGGCAUUGCCGAGUAGCUAAGUGUGGAAGAGAUAACCGCUGAAAGCAUCUAAGCGGGAAACUCGUUUCAAGAUGAGAUCUGCCGGGGCCUUGAGCCCCCUAAAGGGUCGUUCAAGACCAGGACGUUGAUAGGUCAGGUGUGGAAGCGCAGUAAUGCGUUAAGCUAACUGAUACUAAUUGCUCGUGCGGCUUGACCU